rnacentral:rRNA from 1 species
UGGCGGACGGGUGAGUAAUGCUUGGGAAUCUGGCUUAUGAGGGGGGAUAACUACGGGAAACUGUAGCUAAUACCGCGUAAAAUCUUUGGAUUAAAGGGUGGGACUUUCGGGCCACCUGCCAUAAGAUGAGCCCAAGUGGGAUUAGGUAGUUGGUUAGGUAAAGGCUGACCAAGCCGACGAUCUCUAGCUGGUCUGAGAGGAUGACCAGCCACACUGGAACUGAGACACGGUCCAG